GGUAUGUACUGUAGGCUGAGGAGGUGAUUAUCGCGUGCCGGUUAAUCGAUAACUUUAUAUUUUUUCCCCGCUGAAACUGAUUAGGAAGUGAUAACAACAAAGUAUCUGUACGUCCUGUGCCUUGGAGUGCGUGGUGGUGACUUCAUUGAGCCCAGAACACGGCAGAUAAUGCAAGUAUUAACCUUAUCAAUUAGGACCAUAUGCUGGAAUGCUUCUGCACGGCACCUGAACUAUUUUCAAUAGGCUCUUGUUUGAAGUUACACGGGUUUUCUAAUAGUGUUUUCACAGUUUUAGUGACAAAUUAAUAACAUUUCUACAUUAUUAACUGGAGAAACACUCCUGAGAACCAGGCUAAUCAUCUCUGUGACCUUUGAAAACAGUCGUGAUGAGAGUAGAGCGUUUCAGAAUACGAGCCUAUCACUGGCCGGCUACCCUGUGUAUUUCUGUUUUUCACUGGUAAAUUUGUUUGGGAAAUGAUAUUAAUGAACUGACCGUGCCCCCCGUGCCUUGAAGACCUGGAGUGCGUGGCAUUGUCUUCAUUGGGCCCAAAAGACACCAGGUGGUCGACAAAUCGUCCUUAUGGCCUUGGGAUGGAAGGCUGCCACCACCACCACCACCACCACCACCACCACCACCACCACCAUCACCGUCACCACAAAGCCGCACAAAUCCAGGUUAUGGUAUACAGAGCACAGGAUGAGACAAAUAAGGAGGUACUGUGCCUUGAAUAUCCCCUGCACGGCCUCGUUUCCUCGCCUCUCCAUGCACACCACGCGGCGCUAAGUAACCACUCCUCGUUAGCAAGAUUUACCCACACGGACGCUUACAUAAUUCGUGGUCGUUUUAGAGGUGUAGUUCCGCCCACUCACGUCGCCCACGCCUAUGCAUUGUAUAUAAAACUUUUUUAUAUAUAUAUUUUUUAUAUUGUUGGUUAAUGUUAAACGUAUAUUUUUAAGUGUUGUAGGAUGUUUUGUGUGUUUAUUUAUUUAUUAAUUAAUUUAUUUAUCUAUUUAUGUAUU